UAUUUAUCGGUGGAGCAGCACAACAUUUUCCACAGACAGUUUUCCUGCCCGUUGGCUUGUUUUAACCAGUUUUCUACCUUCGGCUGAUUCUACCAGCAGACACUGAAAGGACUCUGAUAGUUCGAGUGAAAGUAGCAGUUCCUCCUGAAGGUCAGAGAUUGCAGCAUCUGAGGGCCUCUUCAAAAGAAGACGUAGUUGAUGAAGGCGUUCUGGAGCAGGACCAGAAAGACCACGACCAAGCAGCCUUGAGAUCUUAGGCAGCGUCUCCCUCAGGUCCCUCUCUAUCUCCCCACACAUCCACCAACCACUGGAACACAUCUCCAAAGUUCUGCUGGGCCAACUCAGCUUCCCCUCAGAAGUGCCACCACCUGCCAGAUGAAGGAGCCUUUUGAGAGGCAGCUGGCAUCGUGAUUGGACUGUACUUUGGUCUGUUCCAAUCCAGCUUCAGCUCCAGAGACGGCAGGCGGGACGAGUCAACGGAGGCCGGGUGGACGAAGGCAUGCAGCUGAGUACAAUCCAGAAAACAACAGAGGAGGAGUGCAGCGGCGCAGGGCCAGAAAAAACAGAGUAGCAUCGUAUGUCUCUUAGAAAACAUCAUAGUAUAGCCUUUGGGAUGAAAAAAUGCCAUCAUAUACAUUGUAUAUUGUACAAAUAACAAGUCAAAGGAAAGAGACAUACAUUGUAGAAUUGUAGUAAUUGUGGGCUGACUGAUUUACUGAUUAUCAGUAUUUUAUUUUUUACCAAUUUACG